rnacentral:rRNA from 1 species
GGUUAAGCGACCAAGCGUACACGGUGGAUGCCCUGGCAGUCAGAGGCGAUGAAGGACGUGCUAAUCUGCGAAAAGCGCCGGCGAGGUGAUAUGAACCCUUGACCCGGCGAUGUCCGAAUGGGGAAACCCNNNNNNNNNNNNNNNNNNAUCGUUAGCUGAAUACAUAGGCUAACGAGGCGAACCGGGGGAACUGAAACAUCUAAGUACCCCGAGGAAAAGAAAUCAACCGAGAUUCCCCCAGUAGCGGCGAGCGAACGGGGAGGAGCCCAGAGCCUGAAUCAGCUUGUGUGUUAGUGGAAGCGUCUGGAAAGUCGCACGGUACAGGGUGAAAGUCCCGUACACGAAAANNNNNNNNNNNNNNNNNNNNNNNNNNNNNNNNNNNNNNNNNNNNNNNNNNNNNNNNNNNNGGACCAUCCUCCAAGGCUAAAUACUCCUGACUGACCGAUAGUGAACCAGUACCGUGAGGGAAAGGCGAAAAGAACCCCGGCGAGGGGAGUGAAAAAGAACCUGAAACCGUGUACGUACAAGCAGUGGGAGCCUCUUUUAUGGGGUGACUGCGUACCUUUUGUAUAAUGGGUCAGCGACUUAUAUUCUGUAGCAAGGUUAACCGUAUAGGGGAGCCGAAGGGAAACCGAGUCUUAACUGGGCGUUAAGUUGCAGGGUAUAGACCCGAAACCCGGUGAUCUAGCCAUGGGCAGGUUGAAGGUUGGGUAACACUAACUGGAGGACCGAACCGACUAAUGUUGAAAAAUUAGCGGAUGACCUGUGGCUGGGGGUGAAAGGCCAAUCAAACCGGGAGAUAGCUGGUUCUCCCCGAAAGCUAUUUAGGUAGCGCCUCGUGAAUUCAUCUCCGGGGGUAGAGCACUGUUUCGGCUAGGGGGCCAUCCCGGCUUACCAACCCGAUGCAAACUGCGAAUACCGGAGAAUGUUAUCACGGGAGACACACGGCGGGUGCUAACGUCCGUCGUGAAGAGGGAAACAACCCAGACCGCCAGCUAAGGUCCCAAAGUCAUGGUUAAGUGGGAAACGAUGUGGGAAGGCCCAGACAGCCAGGAUGUUGGCUUAGAAGCAGCCAUCAUUUAAAGAAAGCGUAAUAGCUCACUGGUCGAGUCGGCCUGCGCGGAAGAUGUAACGGGGCUAAACCAUGCACCGAAGCUGCGGCAGCGACACUAUGUGUUGUUGGGUAGGGGAGCGUUCUGUAAGCCGUUGAAGGUGGCCUGUGAGGGUUGCUGGAGGUAUCAGAAGUGCGAAUGCUGACAUAAGUAACGAUAAAGCGGGUGAAAAGCCCGCUCGCCGGAAGACCAAGGGUUCCUGUCCAACGUUAAUCGGGGCAGGGUGAGUCGACCCCUAAGGCGAGGCCGAAAGGCGUAGUCGAUGGGAAACAGGUUAAUAUUCCUGUACUUGGUGUUACUGCGAAGGGGGGACGGAGAAGGCUAUGUCGGCCGGGCGACGGUUGUCCCGGUUUAAGCAUGUAGGUGUGUGCUCCAGGCAAAUCCGGUGCACUUUAACACUGAGGUGUGAUGACGAGGCACUACGGUGCUGAAGUGACAAAUGCCCUGCUUCCAGGAAAAGCCUCUAAGCAUCAGGUAACACGAAAUCGUACCCCAAACCGACACAGGUGGUCAGGUAGAGAAUACCAAGGCGCUUGAGAGAACUCGGGUGAAGGAACUAGGCAAAAUGGUGCCGUAACUUCGGGAGAAGGCACGCUGAUAUGUAGGUGAAGUGAUUUACUCAUGGAGCUGAAAUCAGUCGAAGAUACCAGCUGGCUGCAACUGUUUAUUAAAAACACAGCACUGUGCAAACACGAAAGUGGACGUAUACGGUGUGACGCCUGCCCGGUGCCGGAAGGUUAAUUGAUGGGGUUAUCCUCGCGGAGAAGCUCUUGAUCGAAGCCCCGGUAAACGGCGGCCGUAACUAUAACGGUCCUAAGGUAGCGAAAUUCCUUGUCGGGUAAGUUCCGACCUGCACGAAUGGCGUAAUGAUGGCCAGGCUGUCUCCACCCGAGACUCAGUGAAAUUGAACUCGCUGUGAAGAUGCAGUGUACCCGCGGCAAGACGGAAAGACCCCGUGAACCUUUACUAUAGCUUGACACUGAACACUGGUCCUUGAUGUGUAGGAUAGGUGGGAGGCUUUGAAGUGUGGACGCCAGUCUGCAUGGAGCCGCCCUUGAAAUACCACCCUUUAAUGGCUGGUGUUCUAACGUGGGCCCGUAAUCCGGGUUGCGGACAGUGUCUGGUGGGUAGUUUGACUGGGGCGGUCUCCUCCUAAAGAGUAACGGAGGAGCACGAAGGUCAGCUAAUCCUGGUCGGACAUCAGGAGGUUAGUGCAAUGGCAUAAGCUGGCUUGACUGCGAGCGUGACGGCGCGAGCAGGUGCGAAAGCAGGUCAUAGUGAUCCGGUGGUUCUGAAUGGAAGGGCCAUCGCUCAACGGAUAAAAGGUACUCCGGGGAUAACAGGCUGAUACCGCCCAAGAGUUCAUAUCGACGGCGGUGUUUGGCACCUCGAUGUCGGCUCAUCACAUCCUGGGGCUGAAGUAGGUCCCAAGGGUAUGGCUGUUCGCCAUUUAAAGUGGUACGCGAGCUGGGUUUAGAACGUCGUGAGACAGUUCGGUCCCUAUCUGCCGUGGGCGCUGGAGAACUGAGGGGGGCUGCUCCUAGUACGAGAGGACCGGAGUGGACGCAUCACUGGUGUUCGGGUUGUCAUGCCAAUGGCACUGCCCGGUAGCUAAAUGCGGAAGAGAUAAGUGCUGAAAGCAUCUAAGCACGAAACUUGCCCCGAGAUGAGUUCUCCCUGACUCCUUGAGAGUCCUGAAGGAACGUUGAAGACGACGACGUUGAUAGGCCGGGUGUGUAAGCGCAGCGAUGCGUUGAGCUAACCGGUACUAAUGAACCGUGAGGCUUAACCUU